rnacentral:misc_RNA from 1 species
AAGUCGUAACAAGGUUUCCGUAGGUGAACCUGCGGAAGGAUCAUUACAACGUAUCCACGUACCAAACUCUCGAACUGUUCCCAAUGAAGAUGAAGUUAAUGGUCGAGUUGCUUUUCGCUGAUGGAGUUCGCUUGGCGAACUGAAAGGCUCUCGAUUGCCAAACGACCUUCGGGUCGGCUGGGACUUCAUUUACUUCAUUGCGGUUUUACCAUCAGCAUUGUUUUACCAUUAUUAACCCUUUUAAAAUUCGAACUGAACUAUGAAAUCAAGCAGCCGUCCUCGUUGGCUUCGGUCACGGACUGUUGAUUGCUUUCAAACAUACGAAACAAAGAACAACUCUUAGCAACGGAUAUCUUGGCUCUC